UGUGCGCUCUUGUAUAAUUAGAAGGUAAUAAAAAAAGAGCGCGUGAAUG
rnacentral:sRNA from 1 species